GACGAACGCUGGCGGCAUGCUUAACACAUGCAAGUCGAACGAGUGGCGAAAGGGUGAGUAACACGUGGGUGAACUGCCUUGCACUUCGGGAUAAGCUUGGGAAACUGGGUCUAAUACCGGAUCGUGCAAGAUGAGUUCUCGGCCUAUGAGCUUGUUGGUGGGGUAAUGGCUACCAAGGCGCGACGGGUAGCCGGCCUGAGAGCGUGUACGGCGACAUUGGUCCUGAGAGAGGGCCCAGACGCGUACGGGAGGAAGCAGUGGGGAAUAUGGUACAACGGGCGGAAGCCUGAUGAAGAGACCUCGGGGGGGUGAUGAACUCCUUCGGGUUGUAAACUCCUUCCGACAGGGACGCGGUACCUGUAUAAGAAGCACCGGCUAACUACGUGCCAGCAGCCGCGGUAAUAC
rnacentral:rRNA from 1 species